UACGGAGGGUGCAAGCAUUGAUCGGAAUUACUGGGCGUAAAGGGCGCGUAGGCGGCUUUAAAAGUCAGAUGUGAAAUUCCGGGGCUCAACCCCGGAGCUGCAUUUGAAACUCUAGAGCUAGAGUAUAGUUAGGGUAAACGGAAUUCCACGUGUAGCGGUGAAAUGCGUAGAUAUGUGGAAGAACACCGGUGGUGAAGACGGUUUACUGGGCUAUAACUGACGCUGAGGCGCGAAAGCAUGGGGAGCAAACAGG
rnacentral:rRNA from 1 species